AACGCACAUUGCGCCCCGUGGUAUUCCGCGGGGCAUGCCUGUCCGAGCGUCGUCUCCCCCCCUCAAGCCCGGCUUGGUGUUGGGCCGCGCCGCCCGCGGCCGGCCCCAAAGGCAGUGGCGGCGCCGCCCGGCCCUCAGCGCAGUACGUCUCUCGCUCGAGGGCCCGGCAGGCGCCCGCCAGAACCCCAACCCCACCGUGGACCUCGGAUCAGGCAGGGACACCCGCUGAACUUAA
rnacentral:misc_RNA from 1 species